rnacentral:rRNA from 1 species
ACUGAUGUAUUCCACGAGUAUAUAGCCUUAGCCGACAAGUCCGGGUAAUCUUGGGAAAUUUCAUCAUGAUGGGGAUAUAGCAUUGCAAUUGUUGGUCUUCAAU